GUCUCUACGGGACGCAGCAGUGAGGAAUAUUGGUCAAUGGGCGGGAGCCUGAACCAGCCAAGUCGCGUGAGGGAAGAAGGUACUUAGUAUUGUAAACUUCUUUUGUCGGGGAACAAAGGCGGAGACGCGUCUCCGGAUGAGUGUACCCGAAGAAAAAGCAUCGGCUAACUCCGUGCCAGCAGCCGCGGUAAUACGGAGGAUGCGAGCGUUAUCCGGAUUUAUUGGGUUUAAAGGGUGCGCAGGCGGGAGAUCAAGGCAGCGGUAAAAUGUCGGGGCUCAAACCCGGCCGGCCG
rnacentral:rRNA from 1 species